ACCACCUCACGUGCCCGAGCCCUGUGACUCGGUGACCGCUCUGCUCUGUGACCCGUUUCCCCUUGUAAGGGCUCUGCUGCUCGUCAGCCCGCGGAGGGCGGCCGCCAGAGGGCGCGGCGCGGCGGCUGGGAAACGUGGCCACCCAGGGCUACACACACACACACACACACACACACACACCGCGUGUAGGCGUCCCCGUUACUACCGCCAGGCCUGGGUGCGAGGCUGAGGGACAGGGAUGUCACCGACGCCCACCCCGUCUGGAGGCCUCCUGCCAACUCCCGUCUCAAAGCCACCGUGAAGGAGUCGUGGCCCUGGCUGGCGGAGGAGGGGCAGAGAAAUCUGCAACUAGAAGGCACUGGAGCCUAGACAAAUAUAUCAUGAAGAACAGGCAAGGCAAGCUGGCCUGAACACACAGACAAAAGCUUAAUGACAAUGCAUGUUGUCCUCCAUCCGUUCCUAGCUGGCCCUCAGCACACUAGGUGUUUAAGAUGAUGCACUCCCUCAUUUACAUUGGCUUGUUCAAGGUGAUUUAAGAGAUUCUGAGAUGCACUUUGAGAAAGUUCUAAAAUGCUUAUUCUUCUUAUAUGAAAUGCACUGCCACACAGUCUCAUAUUUUCCUAAGGCAGGAUCUGAUUCCGUUUCCUUUUCCAUGAUAUAUUUGGACCACACUGUAGAGUUCUGGUCACUAUACAACGUGACUAUACAACAUGACUGAGUUCCAGGUUUGUUUUGUAGAUUUUUUUUCUUCCAUCACUUUUUUUCAGUAGCGCUUCCCCAACACCAAGGCAGUAUCUUAGUUAGGGUUUCAUUUCGGUGAAGAGACACCAUGACCAAGGCAACUCUAAUAAAGGCACACAUUUCAUUCGUGCUGGCUUACAGUUUCAGAGGUUUAGUCCAUUAUCAUGGCAGCAGACAUGGUAGUGGAGAAACCAAAAGCUUAACAUUUUGAUCUGAAGACAGCCGGGAGGAGACUGUGUUCAGCAGGCAGCUCGGAAGAGGCUCUAAUUCCACACUGUGUCGAGCUUGAGCUAAAUGACACACUUCCUCCAAUAAGGCCAGACCUUCUCCAACAUGGUGGCUGGAGAAGCCACACUUCCUAAUAGUGUCCUCACUAUGGCCAAGCAUUGAAACACUGGAAUCUAUGGGGGGCCAAACCUAUUCAAACCACCACAGGCAACAAGAAACAAAUUUAAAGACCUAAAAUCAUUGACUGAUCAAAAAAUCAGAUAGACUCCCACUGUCUUCGUACUGGCUUUCAGUGUCCAAGGAACAGUUCCAUCUCUCUGUAACAAGGCUCCCUUGACAAAGGAUUAAAUUACAAUGUGGAUCUGUGUUUCCUAAAAGCUUCUUUAAUUUGGAGUUAGCCUAGCACAUAGCAUAUUGCAUGACCAUUCUCUUACAUGGAGAGGAUAGCUAGGUCACUAACCCUUCUCAACUCUUAUACACACUUUGCUCCUAACCUGGGCAAGCUUUGUGCAGUUAAUACUCCAGAGAGGCUGUGGUUGGGCAUUCUUCCUGUGUUAACUUACUCAGAAGUUUGUCAUUAAUAACUUAAAUACUCUGGAUCUAAUAUCAUUAAAAAUAGAAGCAAAAAUCCCAGGAUCCU
rnacentral:lncRNA from 1 species